CUUAAAUUCAAUUCCUAGCAACCACAUGGUGGCUCACAACCAUCUAUAAGAGGAUUGGAUGCCCUCUUCUGGCAUGCAGGCCUUGAGCUAUGGAGAUGAAUAAAACCCAAAGGCCCUCCUUCUCGUAUGCUGCAUAGAUUCCAGCUGGGAGAAAAGAAAACAAAAGAACAGGAGAUAAGAAACCAGCAUGCUGAAAACAAAAGCAAGGCAAUUUGAUGAAGAGGAAGAGGAAGGACCACACUUUUCCAAAUAUUUUCCUAGUAACUCGAGAUACCUUGCUCAUCAGGUGACAAUGGGGGAAGCCUUACCCGGAUGAUCAAAGUUUUAUCAACCACUCAGGGAAAGUAGCAACAGCUAUGCUAUGCUAU
rnacentral:lncRNA from 1 species